rnacentral:rRNA from 1 species
GUUAUCGUUUAUUUGAUAGUACCUUACUACUUGGAUAACCGUGGUAAUUCUAGAGCUAAUACAUGCUGAAAACCCCAACUUCGGGAGGGGUGUAUUUAUUAGAUAAAAAACCAACGCCCUUCGGGGCUUCUUGGUGAUUCAUGAUAACUUCACGGAUCGCAUGGCCUGGCGCCGGCGACGGUUCAUUCAAAUUUCUGCCCUAUCAACUUUCGAUGGUAAGGUAUUGGCUUACCAUGGUUUCAACGGGUAACGGGGAAUUAGGGUUCGAUUCCGGAGAGGGAGCCUGAGAAACGGCUACCACAUCCAAGGAAGGCAGCAGGCGCGCAAAUUACCCAAUCCCGACACGGGGAGGUAGUGACAAUAAAUACUGAUACAGGGCUCUUUUGGGUCUUGUAAUUGGAAUGAGUACAAUUUAAACCUCUUAACGAGGAACAAUUGGAGGGCAAGUCUGGUGCCAGCAGCCGCGGUAAUUCCAGCUCCAAUAGCGUAUAUUAAAGUUGUUGCAGUUAAAAAGCUCGUAGUUGAAACUUGG